GCUAAUCUAAUUUAGUUUCGGUUUAAAACCAAACCGAACACUAAUUCGGUUUGAUUUUAAAAGGUUUUCGUUUAAUUUGGUUUUUUUGGUUUAAUCAAAUUAAAAAACGCUAUAAAUAAACAACAUGUUUCGGCUUAGGAUAGUAGUACUCUUGGCUUUGGGUGAUUUUCAAAAAAAAAAAAAAAUGGAUUAUGUGGUCUGCUUGUCCACACAUUAUCUUCCUCACCACAGUCAAAAACCCUUCAUAAAAAAAAUCCUAUGUGUCCCCUGUCUCCGAGCAUUCUCUCCAAGUCAGGUCACCACCGCUGCUGAUCGUUUCUAUCGUUCCUCAUCCACCGACAUCCGCCAUCGCCGACGCCACGUAUAGUGGUCGUUCGUCAUCACUCCUAUUGUUGAAUGAUGGUUAAAAUGGGUUAUGUUGGUGACCACCAGUCACAAAGAAAUCGCCAAAACCGAAGCGGUUGAGGUCAAGAUAGACGGUGAUGAUUGAGUUUACAAUAAAAGGAUGAGAGGGUUUUCGAUUUGUUACUACUAAUAGUCCACCGAUAUUCCCGGCAAUGAGGGGCGAAGAGUGAAUUCAGUGACAAUAAGGAGCCAACUUUUGCUUUCUUGAAUUCUCUGUUCCUUGGAGAGUGGGAGGAUCGCCCGAAGAGAGGGCAGUUUCACUCGCUAUGAUGUUACUGCCUACGAAAGUAAGAUAUAUAUCAAUUUAAUGUCUUUGUUUAUAAAAAACAUGCCUGAGGCAUGAGGCACACACGGCGAUAUGGAAAACACCUCAGGGUCUUGAGGUAGUGUCUCAUGCGUACCUGUGUCAAAAUAGUCAUAUAGUAAAACCUUAAUUUAAUAUCGUUCCUCGCCCACCGACAUCCGCCAUCGCCGACGCCACGUAUAGUGGUCAUUCGUCAUCACUGCUAUUGUUGAAUGAUGGUUAAGAUGGGUUAUGUUGGUGACCACCAGUCACGAAGAAAUCGCCAAAACCGAAGCGGUUGAGGUCAAGAUAAACGGUGAUGAUUGGGUUUACAAUAAAAGGAUGAGAGGGUUUUCAAUUUGUUACUACUAAUAGUCCAUCGAUUAUCCCGACGAUGAGGUAUUUUCUGUAACAUUCCAUGUGUCCGACCAAAAUCUAAAAAUUAUUGAAGUUUGAAGGUUUAUAUGAAAAAAUUGAAGGAAUGAUUGAAUGAAUGAUGAAUGGAUGAUGAUGAUAUUCUAUAAAUUAACAUGUGGUUUGAUUUGAUUCAGGGGCGAAGCUACUUUAUAUGUUAUCCAAAAAACUGAAAAGAGUUCAGUGACAAUAAGGAGCCACCUUUUGCUUUCUUGAAUUCUCUGCUCCCUGGAGAGGUAGUGUUUGAAAGCUUACUACUAUAAUUUAUGGUUAUCGAUAUCGCUUUAAGCUAAAAUUGUUUCUUAUUGUUAUGUUUAAAGUGGGAGGAUCGCCUGAAAAGACGGCAGAUUCACUCGCUAUGAUGUUACUGCCUACAAAAGUAAUGUAUAUAUCAAUUUAAU